GUUCGCUGACGAGUCCCAAAUAGGACGAAACGCGCGUCAAAC
rfam:Schistosoma rodhaini strain Burundi genome assembly, scaffold: SROB_scaffold0001740